CGUCACGGACCCGACCACCUGCCCGCUUCCCGGCCAUGGUACCAACCCGAUUGCCAGUGGCUCCGGCGACGU
rnacentral:sRNA from 1 species